UUAACGGACAGUCCUGUAAAAUUAUUGUAACUACACUGUAGAAGCAUUUUUUUACAGCAACCGCAUAGCAUUGUGGGAUCGCUGCUGUUUGAAUUUUGAAAUUACGCGGCCAACGGACGGUACUUUUUGGAAGAAAGAACAUGUCUCAGGAGAGGCACUAAGUGCAGACAAAUGGAUGAUGUCUUUGGAAGGGACAACUGUGAUGGGCCCCACAACAACCUUCUGAAUGGAGUGCAGCGACCUUCACUGUCUACAUGUUUAACUAACAGUAUCCUAAAGAGGCCUCAAACACUAAAGAGCUUUUUGUGGAAUCAAUUCC